AAAUACAAGGAAAGGCGGUAGAAUCAAAGGAAACACCAACUGCAAAACCUGAUAAUAUUGCAGAAAAAUCAAAGGAUACACUAACUC